rnacentral:rRNA from 1 species
UAGGGAAUCUUCCGCAAUGGGCGAAAGCUUGACGGAGCAACGCCGCGUGAGUGAUGAAGGUCUUCGGUUCGCAAAACUCUGUUGUUAGAGAAGAACAGCGCAUAGAGUAACUGUUAUGCGUGUGACGGUAUCUAACCAGAAAGCCACGGCUAACUACGUGCCAGCAGCCGCGGUAAUACGUAGGUGGCAAGCGUUGUCCGGAUUUAUUGGGCGUAAAGCGAGCGCAGGCGGUCAAUUAAGUCUGAUGUGAAAGCCCCCGGCUCAACCGGGGAGGGUCAUUGGAAACUGGUUGACUUGAGUGCAGAAGAGGAGAGUGGAAUUCCAUGUGUAGCGGUGAAAUGCGUAGAUAUAUGGAGGAACACCAGUGGCGAAGGCGACUCUCUGGUCUGUAACUGACGCUGAGGCUCGAAAGCGUGGGUAGCAAACAGG